AGAAUAUAGAGUAUUUAUCACAUCUGAUUAUUUAAUAUGGUUGCUAUAUAUCUAUAUAUCUAUCUACAAUGAUAAGCAAUAUAUUUCCUGGGCUAUUAUUACACUGCCCUUGACAAAUUUCUCCAUAUUUAAACGUAUAUACAUAUAUACUUCACAUCUUAUACCGAAAUUAAAGCUCAAAUCUUAAGUUUCAUGUCAAUACAGAGAUUAAAUAAAAUGGACAUAUUUAAUUGAGUAAGCGGGGCUUUUUAUUUAGUUAUUAGUAUUUAUAAUACAUGAAACACCUCUCAGUUUGGAUUCAAACGUUUAACUGUUCAAAGAUCAAACCAAAGAAUCAAACCAAAAAAAAUUAACCUGGAUCUAAGGCCUUUUAUGUGAUUAGAGGGACUGUAGAUGUAAUUUCAAGUAAUCCUCCAUUCACAGAGUGGCAUGUGGGAUUCACAACGUUACACGCCCUAUAAUGAGACGAGAAUACGAGAAUACCACUUUCGUUUGCGUUGAAGGGAUCUUGAAAUAAGGAAGAAAUGUACUUACACCUUGUUCUUAUCCUGCUUGGGACGCCAUCUUCUGAAUCGGAAAAGCAGCCCAGGUUGAGGAAAAGAGAAACCUUCUCACAUGAAAACUUUCCCUUUCGAAGAAAAUAUUUACCAAGAAAUAUCAAAUUUUAUUCCCAACAUCAAGAAUACGGAACUAGACAAGCGGAUAUAAUGUUAAACACCGGAAGUAAGGCUGCCUAUUGGGGGGAUAGGCGCCAAGAAAUAAAUCAAGGUAACCAAUGGAGGGACCUGUACAAAAAUAACAAACGGGAUAAUAUGAGGUUUACAACAAGAAAAGGUCGUCUUCCCAUCAACCCACAUGGACCAAUUAAUAGAAGAAAUACCAGUUGGAAAUGGCUGACCGAUAUUCUACCAAUAAGAUACACACCUAGAAAUGUUAGAAGAGAAAAAUCAAGGAUUUUUCCAAACAGGUGAAUAUUAAUAUUCAUUUUUCCA
rnacentral:lncRNA from 1 species